GACGAACGCUGGCGGCGUGCCUAAUACAUGCAAGUCGAGCGGAUGGAAGGGAGCUUGCUCCCGGAAGUCAGCGGCGGACGGGUGAGUAACACGUGGGCAACCUGCCCUUGAGAUCGGGAUAACUUCGGGAAACCGGAGCUAAUACCGGAUAGGUUCUUCCAGUAACUGAGGGAAGAGGGAAAGACGGUUUCGGCUGUCACUCAAGGCUGGGCCCGCGGGGCAUUAGCUAGUUGGGGGGGUGAUGGCUCAACAAGGCGACGAUGGGUAGCCGACCUGGGAGGGUGAUCGGGCACACGGGGACGGAGACACGGACCAGGCUCCUACGGGAGGCAGCAGUAGUGAAUCUUCUGCAAUGGACGAAAGUCUGACGGAGCAACGCCGCGUGAGUGAAGAAGGUUUUCGGAUCGUAAAACUCUGGUGUCAGGGAAGAACAAGUACCAUAGUAACUGAUGGUACCUUGACGGUACCUGGCCAAAAAGCCACGGCUAACUACGUGCCAGCCGCCGCAGUAACAC
rnacentral:rRNA from 1 species